rnacentral:rRNA from 1 species
GACGAACGCUGGCGGCGUGCUUAACACAUGCAAGUCGAGCGGUAAGGCCCUUUCGGGGGUACGACGAGCGGCGAACGGGUGAGUAACACGUGGGUGACCUGCCCUCCAGCUCUGGGAGUAAGCCUGGGAAACCGGGUCUAAUACUGGAUAUGACUCCAUGACGCAUGUUGUGGGGUGGAAAGCCUUGUGCGGCUGAGGAUGGGCCCGCGGCCUAUCAGCUUGUUGGUGGGGUGAUGGCCUACCAAGGCGACGACGGGUAGCCGGCCUGAGAGGGCGACCGGCCACACUGGGACUGAGACACGGCCCAGACUCCUACGGGAGGCAGCAGUGGGGAAUCUUGCGCAAUGGGCGAAAGCCUGACGCAGCGACGCCGCGUGAGGGAUGACGGCCUGGUG